rnacentral:rRNA from 1 species
UUCCGGUUGAUCCUGCCGGAAGUUACUGCUAUUCGGAUUCGACUAAGCCAUGCAAGUUUUGGGAUCAUCUUGGUUCCAAAGCGUAAAGCUCAGUAAUAUGUAGUUAAUCUGCCCUUAGGUUCGGGAUAAUCUUGGGAAACUGAGGCUAAUACCGGAUGGGCAAGGGGAUCUGGAAUGCCCCCUUGCUUAAAGCUUCGGCGCCUAAGGAUGAGACUGCAACGGAUUAGCUAGUUGCCAGAGUAAUGUCCUGGCAAGGCUAUAAUCUGUACGGGCCUUGAGAGAGGAAGCCCGGAGAUGGAUUCUGAGACAACAAUCCAGGCCCUACGGGGCGCAGCAGGCGCGAAAAUUUCUCAAUGCGCGCAAGCGUGAAGGAGGAAUCUGAAGUGCUCUGUCUUCUAGACAGUGCUUUUGCCAAGUCCAAACAGCUUGGAGAAUAAGUGGUGGGUAAGACGGGUGCCAGCCGCCGCGGUAAUACCCGCGCCACAAGUGGUAAUCGCGUUUAUUGGGUUUAAAGCGUCCGUAGCCGGUCUGCUAAGUCCCUGGUGAAAGGUCAUAGUCAACUAUGGCGAUGGCCAGGGAUACUGGCAGGCUAGAGACCGGGAGAAGUAUGGGGUAUUCCUGGGGUAGGGGUAAAAUCCUGUAAUCCCAGGAGGACCACCUGUGGCGAAGGCGCCAUACUAGAACGGAUCUGACGGUGAGGGACGAAAGCUAGGGGAGCAAAGCGGAUUAGAUACCCGCGUAGUCCUAGCUGUAAACAAUGUCCACUGGUUGUUGGAGAUCUUACGGGGGUCUCCAAUGUCUUAGGGAAACCGUUAAGUGGACCACCUGGGGAGUACGGUCGCAAGGCUGAAACUUAAUGGAAUUGGCGGGGGAGCACACAAGGGGUGGAUGCUGCGGUUUAAUUGGAUUCAACGCCGGAU